rnacentral:rRNA from 1 species
UACGUAGGGGGCAAGCGUUGUCCGGAAUCAUUGGGCGUAAAGAGCGCGUAGGCGGCCCGGAAAGUCGGAUGUGAAAACCUGGGGCUCAACCCCAGGCCUGCAUCCGAUACUCCCGGGCUCGAGGCAGGUAGGGGAGAUCGGAAUUCCUGGUGUAGCGGUGAAAUGCGCAGAUAUCAGGAGGAACACCGGUGGCGAAGGCGGAUCUCUGGGCCUGUCCUGACGCUGAGGCGCGAAAGCUAGGGGAGCGAACAGG